rnacentral:rRNA from 1 species
GACGAACGCUGGCGGCGUGCUUAACACAUGCAAGUCGAACGAUGAACCGGAGCUUGCUCCGGGGAUUAGUGGCGAACGGGUGAGUAACACGUGGGCAACCUGCCCCAGACAUCGGGAUAACCAUUCGAAAGGAUGGCUAAUACCGGAUAUGACCACUUCGGGCAUCCGAUGGUGGUGGAAAGGAUUCUGGUCUGGGAUGGGCCCGCGGCCUAUCAGCUAGUUGGUGGGGUAAUGGCCUACCAAGGCGACGACGGGUAGCCGGCCUGAGAGGGCGACCGGCCACACUGGGACUGAGACACGGCCCAGACUCCUACGGGAGGCAGCAGUGGGGAAUAUUGCGCAAUGGGCGAAAGCCUGACGCAGCGACGCCGCGUGAGGGACGAAGGUCUUCGGAUUGUAAACCUCUUUCAGCAGGGACGAAGCGAAAGUGACUGUACCUGCAGAAGAAGCACCGGCUAACUACGUGCCAGCAGCCGCGGUAAU